rnacentral:rRNA from 1 species
CUCCACGCCGUAAACGAUGGGUGCUAGGUGUGGGAGGUGUCGACUCCUUCCGUGCCGCAGCUAACGCAUUAAGCACCCCGCCUGGGGAGUACGGCCGCAAGGCUAAAACUCAAAGGAAUUGACGGGGGCCCCGCACAAGCAGCGGAGCAUGUGGUUUAAUUCGAUGCAACGCGAAGAACCUUACCAGGGCUUGACAUGCACUGGAAAUCCGUAGAAAUACGGCCCUCCUUCGGGACCAGUGCACAGGUGGUGCAUGGCUGUCGU